CAGCUGGCUUAUCCUAUCGUGUGGCUGCUUCAUUGCUAGGUGAAUAGCUAGGAGUUCUCAUACAGUAUUUGUUAUGGCCCUACCUGGCCUGGUCAGCUCGCUUGGGCUUAGUAAACUAUUCCCUUAGACAUUCUAUGAACAGGCUGAGAUGUAGGCUUAUUAAGACAUAUGGUAUAGAAAGGCUGAGCUGAGGCCAGUUACUACAGCACUGGUAACACAGUCUAAUCUAAGUGGACACAUAGGCUAUGUAAUUGCAUGCUAAAAACAUCAGGCUUCUUUUACAUUAUGAGAGUCCUUCUCAACAUCAGACUGUAAUGGGCAAUUGAGUAAAUUAUGGGGUAAGUUGUGGAGGACCCUAGUCUGACAGGGUGCAGACAACCUUGACUGGGC